rnacentral:rRNA from 1 species
CCUACGGGAGGCAGCAGUGAGGAAUAUUGGUCAAUGGGCUUACGCCUGAACCAGCCAAGUCGCGUGAGGGAAGACUGCCCUAUGGGUUGUAAACCUCUUUUGUCAGGGAGCAACGCCGGCUACGUGUAGCCGGACUCCGAGUACCUGAAGAAAAAGCAUCGGCUAACUCCGUGCCAGCAGCCGCGGUAAUACGGAGGAUGCGAGCGUUAUCCGGAGUUAUUGGGUUUAAAGGGUGCGUGGGCGGAAUGCCAAGUCAGCGGUAAAAUCGCGGGGCUCAACCUCGGUACGCCGUUGAAACUGGCGUACUUGAGUGGGCGAGAGGUAAGCGGAAUGCGUAGUGUAGCGGUGAAAUGCGUAGAUAUCACGCGGAACACCAGUUGCGAAGGCAGCAUACCGGAGCGCAACUGACGCUGAAGCACGAAAGCGUGGGUAUCGAACAGGAUUAGAUACCCUUGUAGUC